UAUAAAUGUCGGUUAUGUCCUUAAUGUACAUAGGUCUUUCUUUCGCUUUAUAUGACUUUAACAAAUGUUUCAUCUCGUUGACAAAAUAGAAACAUUUUAGUAUGCAUUAAAAGUGCCAGAUUUACUUCGAGUAAGGGGUGGUGUGCCUUAUCCACGCGCGAAGUAUUCUAAAUGCACAGGCAUUACACGUGCCUUGGUGACAGAUCAACCGUUCUUUUGUGCACGUUUUAACAACCAUUCCAACAAGCUCAAGUAAAACUGGGAAGAUAGUUGUCGAACAAGCUGCGAUGAAAAUACUCUUCUUUUGACAUCAUCAAAGGAACAUGACAUAAAAAAAAACGAAGAAAAGAAUUUCUAUAUGUUCUGGUUCCAGAUGGGUUUGUAGACUGUUUAACUGGUGAAGUAAGUUGAAGCUGAAUCGCUUCAGAAAAUUUAAAACUAGAGGGAUGAAAGACUAAGUCGUCUUGUUUUACACUGGACAAAGGUCUCACACAAACAAUUGUUAAUAAGCAAAGGAUAACAAAAUAUCAGACAUCCCUGGACUUUAGGUUUUUCCUGUUGUUUGUCGUCAAAACACCAUAAUGAACAACUAACGUACCCAUUCAACGCACAAGGAAGGCGUAGGAGCCUCCGGAGAUGACAGAUCCAAACGCUGAUCACUCGCCUAGGGACUAAGGAUACCUGAAAAGUUUGGUGAUAAUGGUUCCAGCGAUUCGCCACGUAUAAACAAACACGCACACACAGACCUAUGUCAAAGAAUGGUUUAAGAUAUGUACGCAUCUUCUAAAGGUUAAAAAACCUAUAUUUUGUGUUUUGUUUAAGCACAAAGCUGCACAAUGAGCUACCUUGCUGUGCCCAUCUUCAUUUUAUCCGUCAAUAUAAUAUAAUAUUCAGAAACAUUAAAAGGGUAAAUACCAUAGGUAUAAGAGGUUUGAUGAUAUUUUUACCACUAUGACGACUAUGAAAGUAUAGGAUGUAAAGAAUAUUAUAUUUUGUAUGAAACAAACAAACAAACAAAAACAACUAUCCCGGCGCCUUUUUUUAUAGCUGAAGGAAAAACCUGUCUUCCGAAAAAUACUCUGGUUAUCAGGUCUCCUAUUUUGUGACAUAUGUAUUUGUUUUGUAAUUUCUUAAUGUCAAAAGCAUCGUGUAUGAAUACAUUUAUUAUCUCUUAUAAUAAUAGUUCAUUCUCAUGCCCUUAUUAUUGUGUAUUUUGUUCUCGAAAAAGACAAUUAAUAAUGUUUAACUUAGAUGAGCAAUGUUGUAUUAUUCACUUGUAAAGUUAUAAAAAUCCCAUCUCAUUGACAUCUUAACCUUCGCAUUAUACUUUUAAAAUAUUCCAUUAAAAUGGGAUCACCAUAAUAUUAAAAUAAUGGUCUUAAACUGAAAGGUAUAUUUUAGCUUUUCCAAUUUCAAACUAACUCUCAAGUAAAUGUGUUCACGAUAUAAGUUGAAAUAUACCCACAGGUUUGAAAAUUAUGUGACUAGGUCUUCUUAAAACACAUGUAUAUAUAUCUACGUUAAAUAUGUUAAAUUCCUUAUAAAGGUACCACCAGAGUGCUCUGAACCGUACUUUACCCACAAAAAUCAGUUGUUCUUCUUAUAAAUGGUCCUGUAUGUUUUUUUCCUCAUCAGGUUAUUUUUAUUACAAAGAUAGCAGCGUUAUGAUUUGUAUGUGUAUUUAU